rnacentral:rRNA from 1 species
GAUGAACGCUGGCGGCGUGCUUAACACAUGCAAGUCGAACGGAAAGGCUCCUGCUUGCAGGGGUGCUCGAGUGGCGAACGGGUGAGUAACACGUGGGUGAUCUGCCCUGCACUUCGGGAUAAGCCUGGGAAACUGGGGCUAAUACCGGAUAGGACGAUCGGUUGGAUGGCAUGGUGUAAAGUGUUUUCGGUGUGGGAUGGGCUCGCGGGCUAUCAGCUUGUUGGUGGGGGAAUGGCCUACCAAGGCGUUGAAGGGUGUCCCGCCUGUGAGGGUGUACGGCCCAAUUGGGACUGAGAUACCGGCCAGACUCCUACGGGAGGCAGCAGUGGGGGAUAUUGAAACAUGGGCGGAAGCCUGAUGCAGCGACGCCGCGUGGGGGAUGACGGCCUUCGGGUUGGAAACCCCUUUCGCUAGGGAAGAAGCGCAAGUGACGGUAACUGGAGAAGAAGCACCGGCUAACUACGUG